rnacentral:rRNA from 1 species
GCAACUCGCCUACAUGAAGCUGGAAUCGCUAGUAAUCGCAGAUCAGAAUGUUGCGGUGAAUACGUUCCCGGGUCUUGUACACACCGCCCGUCACACCAUGGGAGUCGGAAAUGCCCGAAGUCUGUGACCCAACGAAAGAGGGAGCAGCCGAAGGCAGGUCUGAUAACUGGGGUGAAGUCGUAACAAGGUAAC